rnacentral:misc_RNA from 1 species
CGCACCUUGCACUCUUUGGUAUUCCGAAGAGUACGCCUGUUCGAGCGUCAUGAAAUUCUCAAGUCUUUAGUUCUUUUCUAAAGAUUUGGAUUUGGACCUUUGCAACUGAAAUACUGUUGCUGGUCCUAAAUAUAUUAGUCUAUAUGGGAGUAUUGAGACUACUCGGCGUGAUAAAUUUCAUCGUUGGGGAAAUCGAGACUUUUCAAGGCUUUCUAAUCGUCAUUCAUGACAAAACGAGUUCAAAAUCUGACCUCGAAUCAGGUGGGACUACCCGCUGAACUUAA